CGGGGGGGGGGGCAAGCGUUGUUCGGAAUUACUGGGCGUAAAGGGCGCGCAGGCGGGCCCGGCAAGUCCUACGUGAAAUCCCACAGCUCAACUGUGGAAUUGCGUGGGAUACUGCCCAGGCUUGAGUCCGGGAGAGGAGAGUGGAAUUCCCAGUGUAGCGGUGAAAUGCGUAGAUAUUGGGAGGAACACCGGUGGCGAAGGCGGCUCUCUGGACCGGUACUGACGCUGAGGCGCGAAAGCUAGGGGAGCAAACGGGAUUAGAUACCCCGGUAGUCCUAGCCCUAAACGUUGAGCACUUGGUGUGGCGGGUAUCGACCCCUGCCGUGCCGAAGCUAACGCAUUAAGUGCUCCGCCUGGGGAGUACGGUCGCAAGGCUG
rnacentral:rRNA from 1 species